GCAAGUCGAACGAGAAAACCUUCGGGUGAGUACAGUGGCGCACGGGUGAGGAACGCGUAGGUAAUCUACCCUCCGGCGGGGGACAACACUCCGAAAGGAAUGCUAAUACCGCAUAAGACCACGCUUACUAAGGUGAGAGUGGUAAAAGGUGCCUCAAAGCACCACCAGAGGAUGAGCCUGCGUCCCAUCAGCUUGUUGGUAAGGUAAUGGCUCACCAAGGCAAUGACGCCUAACUGGUUUGAGAGGAUGAUC
rnacentral:rRNA from 1 species